UGGGGAAUUUUGGACAAUGGGCGCAAGCCUGAUCCAGCCAUGCCGCGUGAGUGAAGAAGGCCUUCGGGUUGUAAAGCUCUUUCAGCCGGAAAGAAAACGCACAGGAUAAUACCUUGUGUGGAUGACGGUACCGGAAGAAGAAGCACCGGCCAACUACGUGCCAGCAGCCGCGGUAAUACGUAGGGUGCGAGCGUUAAUCGGAAUUACUGGGCGUAAAGCGUGCGCAGGCGGUUUUAUAAGCCAGAUGUGAAAUCCCCGGGCUUAACCUGGGAACUGCAUUUGUGACUGUAAGACUAGAGUGCGGCAGAGGGGGGUAGAAUUCCACGUGUAGCAGUGAAAUGCGUAGAUAUGUGGAGGAAUACCGAUGGCGAAGGCAGCCCCCUGGGUCGACACUGACGCUCAUGCACGAAAGCGUGGGGAGCAAACAGGAUUAGAUACCCUGGUAGUCCACGCCCUAAACGAUGUCAACUAGGUGUUGGGGGAGGAGACUUCCUUAGUACCGCAGCUAACGCGUGAAGUUGACCGCCUGGGGAGUACGGCCGCAAGGUUG
rnacentral:rRNA from 1 species